rnacentral:rRNA from 1 species
CCUACGGGGGACAGCAGUGAGGAAUAUUGGUCAAGGGGCGCGAGCCUGAACCAGCCAAGUAGCGUGAAGGAUGACUGCCCUACGGGUUGUAAACUUCUUUUAUAAAGGAAUAAAGUGAGGCACGUGUGCCGUUUUGUAUGUACGUUAUGAAUAAGGAUCGGCUAACUCCGUGCCAGCAGCCGCGGUAAUACGGAGGAUCCGAGCGUUAUCCGGAUUUAUUGGGGUGAAAGGGAGCGUAGAUGGGUUGUUAAGUCAGUUGUGAAAGUUUGCGGCUCCACCGUAAAAUUGAAAUUGAUACUGGCAGCCUUGCGUACAGUUGAGGUAGGCGGCAUUCGUUGUGUAGCGGUGC